rnacentral:rRNA from 1 species
AUUGAACGCUGGCGGCAGGCCUAACACAUGCAAGUCGAACGGCAGCACAGAAGAGCUUGCUCUUUGGGUGGCGAGUGGCGGACGGGUGAGUAAUGUCUGGGAAACUGCCCGAUGGAGGGGGAUAACUACUGGAAACGGUAGCUAAUACCGCAUAACGUCGCGAGACCAAAGUGGGGGACCUUCGGGCCUCACACCAUCGGAUGUGCCCAGAUGGGAUUAGCUAGUAGGUGGGGUAAUGGCUCACCUAGGCGACGAUCCCUAGCUGGUCUGCGGGGAUGACCAGCCACACUGGAACUGAGACACGGUCCAGACUCCUACGGGAGGCAGCAGUGGGGAAUAUUGCACAAUGGGCGCAAGCCUGAUGCAGCCAUGCCGCGUGUAUGAAGAAGGCCUUCGGGUUGUAAAGUACUUUCAGCGGGGAGGAAGGCGGUGAGGUUAAUAACCUUGCCGAUUGACGUUACCCGCAGAAGAAGCACCGGCUAACUCCGUGCCAGCAGCCGCGGUAA